AAGCCAAAAGUUGGGUUUUUAAAAAGAUUUUUAAAAAUCAACUCACUACAGAUGCAAGAAAAAGAAGGUCCUCACACUUUCUGUCUGUCUGGUUGUGGCAGCCAGGAUUGAAUGGGGAAAUACAGGA
rnacentral:snoRNA from 1 species